rnacentral:rRNA from 1 species
CAUGGGCAGGUUGAAGGUUGGGUAACACUAACUGGAGGACCGAACCGACUAAUGUUGAAAAAUUAGCGGAUGACUUGUGGCUGGGGGUGAAAGGCCAAUCAAACCGGGAGAUAGCUGGUUCUCCCCGAAAGCUAUUUAGGUAGCGCCUCGUGAACUCAUCUUCGGGGGUAGAGCACUGUUUCGACUAGGGGGUCAUCCCGACUUACCAACUCGAUGCAAACUACGAAUACCGAAGAAUGUUAUCACGGGAGACACACGGCGGGUGCUAACGUUCGUCGUGAAGAGGGAAACAACCCAGACCGCCAGCUAAGGUCCCAAAGUCAUGGUUAAGUGGGAAACGAAGUGGGAAGGCUCAGACAGCCAGGAUGUUGGCUUAGAAGCAGCCAUCAUUUAAAGAAAGCGUAAUAGCUCACUGGUCGAGUCGGCCUGCGCGGAAGAUGUAACGGGGCUAAACCAUGCACCGAAGCUGCGGCAGCGACAUUUAGAUGUUGUUGGGUAGGGGAGCGUUCUGUAAGCCUGCGAAGGUGU